rnacentral:tRNA from 1 species
GUCGGGGUCGCAUAGCGGCAGUGCGUCGGACUGCAGAUUCGAUUUAAGUGGGUUCAACUCCCACCCCCGGCUCCA